UAGGGAAUCUUCGGCAAUGGGCGAAAGCCUGACCGAGCAACGCCGCGUGAAUGAUGAAGGCCUUCGGGUUGUAAAAUUCUGUUAUAAGGGAAGAACGACUUUAGUAGGAAAUGGCUAGAGUGUGACGGUACCUUAUGAGAAAGCCACGGCUAACUACGUGCCAGCAGCCGCGGUAAUACGUAGGUGGCGAGCGUUAUCCGGAAUUAUUGGGCGUAAAGAGCGCGCAGGUGGUUGAUUAAGUCUGAUGUGAAAGCCCACGGCUUAACCGUGGAGGGUCAUUGGAAACUGGUCGACUUGAGUGCAGAAGAGGGAAGUGGAAUUCCAUGUGUAGCGGUGAAAUGCGUAGAGAUAUGGAGGAACACCAGUGGCGAAGGCGGCUUCCUGGUCUGUAACUGACACU
rnacentral:rRNA from 1 species